rnacentral:lncRNA from 1 species
AGCAGUUGAAGGUCCCACGUGCUCCUCAAAAGAAAUUAAGUCGUCUCCAGAUAAUCAUCAGAGUCCAACUAAGCGGUUAAUAGAACAGAACAGGACAUGAAAGCAGACAGCCCUUCAAACCCACAGGCCUGUACAUCAAAGGAGUGGUCGACUCCUGAGCACAAGUCAGCAGAGCAGCUGCUUUGCCUCUGGGAACAUGCGGGAGAUAGGAGACUUCCUCCUUAUCUCUAAUGCAGAGGACUUCUCCUCUUUUACCAGCCUCCUCCUGCAGUGCCCUCCCGGGUAAUGGAGCAGGGGUUGCUUCCCUUCCCACGAGACCUUUGUUCAGGCACUCAAGCAGAAGGUUGAGCAAUAAGCCAGCUUUCUUGCUCAGAGGCUCCGCAGACUUCCUGUGGGUGGUUGUUCCACUCUGUGUCAGUCGAGCAAGCUCACCGCCUGAUUCUCUUAUUGUUGGACUAAGCACAAGCUAUUAUACUUAUGAUUCAUAAUUAUAUUAGUAAAGCACUGUUCUAAAGCA